rnacentral:rRNA from 1 species
UACGGGGGGGGCAAGCGUUGUUCGGAAUUACUGGGCGUAAAGGGCUCGUAGGCGGCCAACUAAGUCGGAUGUGAAAUCCCCAGGCUUAACCUGGGAAGUGCGCGCGAAACUGACGAGCUUGAGUGCCGGAGAGGGUCGCGGAAUUCCCGGUGUAGAGGUGAAAUUCGUAGAUAUCGGGAGGAACACCAGUGGCGAAGGCGGCGACCUGGACGGACACUGACGCUGAGACGCGAAAGCGUGGGGAGCAAACAGG